rnacentral:rRNA from 1 species
CCCUUAGAUGUCCUGGGCCGCACGCGCGUUACACUGAUGCAUUCAACGAGCUUAUAACCUUGGCCGAGAGGCCUGGGCAAUCUUGUUAACGUGCAUCGUGAUAGGGAUAGAUUAUUGAAAUUAUUAAUCUUGAACGAGGAAUUCCUAGUAAACGCAGAUCAUCAAUCUGCAUUGAUUACGUCCCUGCCCUUUGUACACACCGCCCGUCGCUCCUACCGAUUGAAUGGUCCGGUGAAGCGCUCGGACCGCGGCCUCUUGACGGUUCGCUGUCGAUUGGCUGUGGGAAGUUCGUUAAACCUUAUCAUUUAGAGGAAGGAGAAGUCGUAACA